GAAGUGAAUGUGAUUAAAGGCAGAAAGCAGCGGAUCCGUGUGAGACGCGCUCCGGUUUUAACUUCUGAUUUUUAAACCUGACGUUAACGAGCUUCACGAACGUGGACAGAGCAGCUGGAAGGAUAACAGAAUGAAGAGGUCUUUCCUCAAGUCAGCUUCUGCUGGAGCCAGGGAUGUGAAGAAGUUCUCCAAAUCUGAAGUGCAGACACUGGUCAAGCAGGAGGUUCGUCGAGCUGUGAGACAGAAUGAAGCCAAGCUGAAGGGUUUGAUGGAAAACAUUCAACAGCUGGAUAGUGGAGUCAUCUGUGAAAGGGCCAUCCGGAGGCUGGAGGCUCGGCUUGAAAUGGUGGAGAAGCGCUCGGUGGCCGCUCUGGCUCACAUGACGAGGCUACAGCAGCAGGUCUGCAGACUAACAUCAGCUGUGUGUGAAGAGGCUGUGCUGUGUGUUCUGGGUGUUCAUCAUGUGAUGACUUCUAACAUCCUUUAAACAUCCUUUCAGAGUCGACCAGCUUCUGCUGAUGGAGCGGACCUCCUCAGGUACUCAGCCACAGCGAUGAAGACAUGACGGGAGUUUGUGGGAUUUGUUUUUGACACUUUGAUUCCAUUUUUUAACCCUGCAGGAUCCAUCCAAAGAAAGAACCAACAACACAAAGUAAGAGUAAAACCAGAAGCAGGGAAUGUUUGAACUUACUGGCACACGGGUUAACUCUGUUCCUUUUUAUUUGUGAAGCAGAGGAAGGUGGAGAGCUCUUUGAAAUGAUGGUAAAUAUGUUCAGCAGUUAUUCUUUCUGUGUUUCUCUGGGUGAGUUAAACAUUUAUGUUGCCUCACAUGGAUCUUUC
ensembl:lncRNA